GAAAGUAAACAAGGGCGCAUGGCGGAUGCCUUGGCUCUCGGAGGCGAUGAAGGACGUGAUAAGCUGCGAUAAGCUCCGGGGAGGUGCAAAUAACCUUUGAUCCGGGGAUUUCCGAAUGGGACAACCCGGCGUGUUGAAGACACGCCACCUGAUCAUUUCAGGAGCUAACGCAGGGAACUGAAACAUCUUAGUACCUGCAGGAAAAGAAAAUAACAAUGAUUCCCCCAGUAGUGGCGAGCGAACGGGGAAUAGCCCAAAGACAUCGGAGAAGAACUUUCUGGAAAGAAAGACCAUAGAGCAUGACAGUUGCGUAUUCGUAUGUUGUCGAAGCAUAGUAGUAUCCUGAGUAGCGCGGAGCACGAGGAAUUCUGCGUGAAUCUGCCGGGACCAUCCGGUAAGGCUAAAUACUCCCGAGAGACCGAUAGCGAACCAGUACCGUGAGGGAAAGGUGAAAAGCACUUCGAACAGAAGAGUGAAAUAGUUCCUGAAACCGUGCGCCUACAAGCGGUCGGAGCUGCUUAAAGCAGUGACGGCGUGCCUUUUGCAUAAUGAACCUACGAGUUGCCUUUGCCGGCAAGGUUAAGUGUGACGACACACGUAUCCGAAGCGAAAGCGAGUCUGAAUAGGGCGUAUAGUCGGCAGUGGCAGACGCGAAACCAAGUGAUCUACCCUUGGCCAGGUUGAAGGCUGGGUAACACCAGCUGGAGGACCGCACCAAUAAGCGUUGAAAAGCUUCUGGAUGAGCUGAGGGUAGGGGUGAAAGGCUAAUCAAACUUGGAGAUAGCUCGUACUCCCCGAAAUGCAUUUAUAAACUAACGAAGUCUGACUGCUAAGACAGCUAGGAUGUUGGCUUGGAAGCAGCCAUUCAUUUAAAGAGUGCGUAACAGCUCACUAGUCGAGGAGUCUGGCGUGGAUAAUAAUCGGGUAUUAAGUUGUCUACCGAAGCAGUGGGAUCAUUGAAAUGAUCGGUAGGGGAGCAUUCCAGUCAGCGUCGAAGGCGUACCGCGAGGUAUUCUGGAGCGUCUGGAAAAGCAAAUGUAGGUAUAAGUAACGAUAAAGGGGGCGGGAAACCCCCUCGCCGAAAGACUAAGGUUUCCUGAUCAACGCUAAUCGGAUCAGGGUAAGUCGGGUCCUAAGGCUCAGCCGAAGGGCGAUGCCGAUGGCAGAAACGGUUAAUAUUCCGUUACUACCUCCAGGAGUGAUGUGGAGACGCAGUAGUGACAAUGCCGCCAUCUGACGGAAUAGAUGGUUGAAGGGUGUAGAUGUUGAUCUUGGCAGGCAAAUCCACCAUGAGAAUCGAACCUGAUAGUAUGCCGCGUCCCUCGGGACAAGGCAAUAGUGCAUGUAAUCAUGCUGCCAAGAAAAUCCGCUAAACUAAAUCCUGUAGGUACCCGUACCGUAAACGGACACACGUAGUCGGGAUGAAUAUUCUAAGGCGCUUGAGUGAUUCACGGUUAAGGAACUAGGCAAACUGACCCUGUAACUUCGGGAUAAAGGGUCCCUACCCGGUGACGGGAGGGCGCAGAGAAUAGGUCCAGGCAACUGUUUAACAAAAACACAGGGCUGUGCUAAAUCGAAAGAUCCUGUAUACAGCCUGACACCUGCCCGGUGCUGGAAGGUUAAGAGGAGACGUCAUCGUUGAGAGAAGCGUUGAAUUGAAGCCCCAGUAAACGGCGGCCGUAACUAUAACGGUCCUAAGGUAGCGAAAUUCCUUGUCGGGUAAGUUCCGACCUGCACGAAUGGUGUAAU
rnacentral:rRNA from 1 species